AUAAACGGCGAAGUUCGAAAGAGCCUAGCUUUAUAUUAUUCCAUAACACCUGUGAACUAUUUGCCUUCUUGUCAUGAGAAGGUACAACCUAUACAAACAUAACUGUAAUGAAUGUAAUCUAUUAUAACAUAAUA
rnacentral:misc_RNA from 1 species